rnacentral:rRNA from 1 species
UGUCCGGAUUUAUUGGGCGUAAAGAGCGUGUAGGCGGCCAGGUAGGUCUGCUGUGAAAACUCGAGGCUCAACCUCGAGACGUCGGAGGAAACCAUCUGGCUAGAGUCCGGAAGAGGAGAGUGGAAUUCCUGGUGUAGCGGUGAAAUGCGCAGAUAUCAGGAAGAACACCCGUGGCGAAGGCGGCUCUCUGGGACGGUACUGACGCUGAGACGCGAAAGCGUGGGGAGCGAACAGG